rnacentral:rRNA from 1 species
UACGUAGGGUGCGAGCGUUAAUCGGAAUUACUGGGCGUAAAGCGUGCGCAGGCGGUUUUGCAAGCCGGAUGUGAAAUCCCCGGGCUCAACCUGGGAAUGGCAUUCGGGACUGCAAGGCUGGAGUGCGGCAGAGGAGACUGGAAUUCCUGGUGUAGCAGUGAAAUGCGUAGAUAUCAAGAGGAACACCAGUGGCGAAGGCGAGUCCCUGGACGAUUCCUGACACUGAGGCACGAAAGCUAGGGGAGCAAACAGG